AAAAGCAUAGCUUAUUUAAAGUAUUUCAUUUACGUGGAAAAGAAAUUAUUAAUUGUUUUUA
rnacentral:tRNA from 1 species